rnacentral:rRNA from 1 species
UCAGUAACACGUAGUCAACCUAACUCAUGGAGGGGGAUAAUCUCGGGAAACUGAGGAUAAACCCUCAUAGAUAAUGGUGCCUGGAAUGGCCCAUUGUUGAAAUAGUUUACUGCCGUGGGAUGGGACUGCGGCCUAUCAGCUUGUUGGUGAGGUAAUGGCCCACCAAGGCUAUAACAGGUACGGGCUCUGAGAGGAGAAGCCCGGAGAUGGGUACUGAGACACGGACCCAGGCCCUAUGGGGCGCAGCAGGCGAGAAACCUUAGCAAUGUGCGAAAGCACGACUGGGUCAGUCCGAGUGAUUUCUGAUAAAGGAAUCUUUUGCCCGUUGUAAAUGCACGGGCGAAUAAGGGGUGGGCAAGUCUGGUGCCA